rnacentral:rRNA from 1 species
CAGCAGCCGCCGCGGUAAUGCGAAGGGUGCAAGCGUUAAUCGGAAUUACUGGGCGUAAAGCGUGCGUAGGCGGUGAGUUAAGUCUGCUGUGAAAUCCCCGGGCUCAACCUGGGAAUGGCAGUGGAUACUGGCUCGCUAGAGUGUGUCAGAGGAUGGUGGAAUUCCCGGUGUAGCGGUGAAAUGCGUAGAGAUCGGGAGGAACAUCAGUGGCGAAGGCGGCCAUCUGGGACAACACUGACGCUGAGGCACGAAAGCGUGGGGAGCAAACAGGAUUAGAUACCCCUGUAGUCCCUGUCUCUUAUAC